rnacentral:misc_RNA from 1 species
GACCACAUCGCGCAAGCGGUAUUGGGGCUUGCAUUCCUGCAUCCCUUAAAAACAUUGGCGGUGCUAUAAAGCUCUCAGCGUAGUAAUUAUUCCGCUGUUGAGUGCUAGAAACACUUGCCAAUAACCCCCAACUUUCUCA